rnacentral:tRNA from 1 species
UCCUCUUUAGCUCAGUUGGCAGAGCAACGGACUGUCCUGUUUAUAAGAUAUAGCGUGUGUUGCUGGUUAAAGCCCAGCAAGAGGAGCCA